rnacentral:rRNA from 1 species
CAGCAGCCACGGUAAUACGUAGGGUGCAAGCGUUACUCGGAAUUACUGGGCGUAAAGCGUGCGUAGGUGGUGGUUUAAGUCCGUUGUGAAAGCCCUGGGCUCAACCUGGGAAUUGCAGUGGAUACUGGGUCACUAGAGUGUGGUAGAGGAUAGUGGAAUUUCCGGUGUAGCAGUGAAAUGCGUAGAGAUCGGAAGGAACAUCUGUGGCGAAGGCGACUAUCUGGGCCAACACUGACACUGAGGCACGAAAGCGUGGGGAGCAAACAAGAUUAGAUACCCCAGUAGUCCCUGUCUCUUAUAC